rnacentral:rRNA from 1 species
CCCUUAGAUGUUCUGGGCCGCACGCGCGCUACACUGAUGCAUUCAACGAGCCUAUCCUUGACCGACAGGCCCGGGUAAUCUUUGAAUCUGCAUCGUGACGGGGAUAGAUUAUUGCAAUUAUUAAUCUUCAACGAGGAAUGCCUAGUAGGCGCAAGUCAUCAGCUUGCGUCGAUUACGUCCCUGCCCUUUGUACACACCGCCCGUCGCUCCUACCGAUUGGGUGUGCUGGUGAAAUGUUCGGAUCGGCCGUUUGUCGCGGUUUCCGCGGCUCGUGGCUGAGAAGUUCAUUAAACCCUCCCACCUAGAGGAAGGAGAAGUCGUAACA